UAAUUAUUAUUAAUUUGAUAUUUUUUUACUUUGUUUUGUUUUGUUUAACUAUUCGCAGUUGAUUUUGUAGUGUAUGAUUAGAAGCAGUGAAUACCUAUUGAAUUUUUAUCCAGAAAUUGAUAGAACUUGCCACAAACUGCGAGCACACACAAGGAAUAAACGACUCCCCUAUCAUGUUAGAAAUUUGUUGAGAAGAGGAAGAACAACAAUGGCUGAUGAACAUGAGAAGCAAAGAAAGCACACAAUGAUGGAUUAUACUACUUCAUCUCUUACUAGAAUCGAACCAAAUAUC
rnacentral:lncRNA from 1 species